UACGGGGGGAGCAAGCGUUGUUCGGAUUUACUGGGCGUAAAGGGCGCGUAGGCGGUCAGCCCAAGUCAGUUGUGAAAUCUCCGGGCUUAACCCGGAAAGGUCAACUGAUACUGUGCGACUAGAGUGCGGAAGGGGCAACUGGAAUUCUCGGUGUAGCGGUGAAAUGCGUAGAUAUCGAGAGGAACACCAAAAGCGAAGGCAGUACACUGGCGCAUUCCUGACACUGAAACACGAAAGCGUGGGUAGCGAAUGGG
rnacentral:rRNA from 1 species